GCCACGCUCGGAGACAACUCCACGUUCUCCUUAUCAACACCUGCAGAACGACAGCACACAUUGAGAGAGCUGCUAAGUGAUGGAUACCAGCAUGAGGAGGGAAAAGAGAGAUUCUCCCAGAAGAACUGGCAUUAUGAAAUAAAGCUGCUACAGCAGGUACAAUGUCACACCGUGUGCUAACAGCAAGUGCACAUACAAGGACAGGUGAUGCAAUUUUUCUUUUAUCUUUUUUUUUUUUUUGAUUAAUGUCUUGUUUCAGUUUUGUGCUGUACUACUGCAACUACAUAGGCUGCAUUAAUCAACCAGGAACAUUAGAAACACAGCGCCGCUGUGAUGGUGUAGUUUAUGUUAUAAACCUAAAAAAGCAUUUCAAAUGUGUUGUCCAUGUCCAUGACAGCUGGAGCAUUUUUUUAGGAAUGUUUGUAGAGUAAAAUUUAAGAUCAUGUAAAUUUAAAAUUGGAAGAAUUUUAGGCAAAUUAAGUCUUGUAAACUGCAGUGCCUGCAUGAAACAGCAAAAACAAAAAAUGCCUCUCAUGCGAGAAUAUACGGUGUACUGUGUGUUGUGUUGGAUGAAUAUUGGGUGUCAGGUUGUUAACAACAGCAGGUUGUGGGGUGUGUGUGUGUGUGCUGACCUGCCGAGUGUUGCGAGGUUGCCAGAGAGGUCAUGGAGUUGGAGAGGUUGAGGUUGGCAGUGAUGCUGAGCUGGCUCUGGACCGGAGGCGGAUACGGAGACGUGGGUGUCCUCAGAGCCUCCUCGCUGCCUUCCUCAUCAAUCCCAGGCAGAUAGGUGUCAAUCAGAGCGUCCAGAAACUUAACGAUCAGCUCAGCGUAGUCCGGGAUCUGGUUUUGCUGUGGGCAGCAGGAGAGCGGCUCGUGUUAAAGAAAGAAAAACUACACCAUCAGUAAGCUGGAGAAAUUAAGGCUCACUACCUUUGAAAAAGGCCCAGCAAAUCUCCAGAGUCCGUUAAAUCCGAAACCUGUGAGUGAGAGAGAAAGUGGGGAAGAGUGAUGUCAUGUCAAUAUGUCUUAGAUCAGCGAUCAUGCUCUCUUCCUGGCAUCCACACUGAAACAAACUGUGUCAGUCUGAGCAUGCUCUCUGACAAAUAAGCCACUGUUACACAAUAUUACAUAAAUAAAAAUAAUGUGGAACAGUGUGCUUUUAGUAUUCACCCAGGAAUUGACUUUAUUAUAAUAGAGUUUAAUUCAUUUAAGUAGUUAAGUAAUUCAUUGAAGUAGUUAAGUAAUACACACUGUAAUUAACAUCAACCCUCUCACACUGUGUGAUUCACAUGUGAUUUAAAAGGAAAAUCAUGUCUAAAUUAUGCCAGAAUCAUGCAGUAUAAGCCAAGAUUAACUCUUAAAAAGCCAUGUAACUUCCUAAUUCUUGUGUGUUGGAGGAUCUAGGUGGGCACAGCAAGUGUAGUGUGUGCGUGUGUGUGUGUGUGUGUGUGCGCGUGUGUGUGUGUUUACUCUGAAGAUAUGAGGGCUGGUACUGCGGUGGUGACUCCUCAUGGUACACCACACUCUGUACAAUGCCAUGCACGGGGUUCAGCAGGUUCGGGUCCUGGCACAUGGACAGCAGCGUGUUGAUCUUCGAGUCCAGGAGGUUGUGACUGCAAGUGAAAGACCUUCGGAAAGACGACGCUGGCCUCAGCUAAAAACUCGUAGAGAAUUCUCUGGUCAAAUUCGUCCAUCGUGUUUUUGACCUGAGUUGCCUGCAACAGAAACCUACACUUAUAUGUUUAUAUUUGAUUAUGCUUGAUUUUAAAUUAUCUUCGUGAAUUAAAAAAGAGACAUUUGCAGACAUUUGCAAUAUCCUUUUAAAAUGGAGAAGUCAACAGCUUAUGAAACCACUUAAACUGUUAUAAGUGAACUCCUGAAGAGGAACAGAGACGCAGACAGAGAGGCAGAAAAGACAACAGGAAACAAAUAUGUUACACGGACAAACACACCGAAGAGCCCUGAAAGAGGAACCGAGACGAAUGACGAAUGAGUGAGUGUGAAAGUGUACGAGAGAGAUGAGCUCGUACCAGCACGGUGAGGAGAAGCGCCUGGAUCUUCGGGUCAGUGAGGACCUCCUCGUCCAGGAGGACGUUGGACUCGGACACGGAGACCUUCCUCAGGUGGUGAUGCUGCUGAGAGAUUCUUUGGGUUUCUGUAUAAAAAAAUAAAUAAAAUAAAAUUAAUUAAUUUAUUUAUUAAUUUAUUAAUUAAUUAAUGUACAUUUCAGGAAAAAAUUGAAUCACUCAGCAUAUGCUUGGUGUUUGCUUCUUUACUUUGCUCUGAGACUGAUACAGAUUACAAGUGAUGUCUGUGUCAGCUAAAAUAUGUAAAUAUAUUGUGCAUAUGUGUGAUGGCCUGGGAAAGACCCUUGACAUAGAGAAAUUUUGAUAUUUACUACUAUUUAUAACUCUGAGAACUACAGGCUUUCCUGAACUGAAAUAUGUUUCACUUUUGCAUGUAUCUCAACCACAAGUUCCAGCAUUUUAAAAUCUGAUGACCUCCAAAAGUCACAAGAGAAAAAAUGAUAUUUAAAGGUUUCAUUCUAACUGUGGCCCAGGGGCAUGGGGCAUUGACAACUGGUAUCUGAUUACAAAGUGAAUCGAUUAGGCUCAUGUCCGUUUUGCUCGGCAUAUAGCUAUUCAACAACUUGAUCAAAUCGUGACAUCGUGAGAAAAUCACACUUAACUAAUGAGGUUUUUCCACAUCAUGAAAUAUGCUUAUGGUUUCUUAAAGUUGAGAUGUUCCAAGCAGAAAAACCCAAUUUUUCAAUUCAUACACUUGCUGUUAAGCUAUCUAAUUUCCUUUUCAGUAAACACUUCUGCAAAACAGCAGGUGUAGUCAGUAUCUAGACUUUUAAGUUUAAAGUGAAAUUAUAUUAUCAUCAUGUUCCACAUCACUUCCAGCUUUCUGAUGCAAUUCCACCUUCAAUCUUUAGGGAUGGUGCCUAAAAAUGUGAAAAAAAAAAAAAAAAAAAAAAAAAAAAACUUGUUCUGGUUGGUUGUCUGAGACUGCUGCCAGCCACAAGGUUACCAUGUUCAGCUACAUGGUGAAGUUUUGUUCUUUUCUGUAGAUAAGAUAUAGAUAUAAGAUAUAACCUGACUGGCUACAUUUGGAGUGGAAAUUUUGUGUAAAUUUCAUAUUUUGUUCAACAUUCUGCUCACUUUUCAUCACAGCAGGAUGUGCGACACUUCUCUCAUGUGAUUGGAUGAUCAGAUUUACCUUCAUGGUAUUUUUAGGCAGCAGAAUUCUUUUGGUAAAACUAAACAAAUUGUGUACUUUUCAUAUGCAUUUGUUUAUUAUUAAAAAAAAUACUACAUGUAUCUGAAAUGUGCAGUCUUAACUAGGCCAUUAAUUAUGUAUUGUGUGAUUCAGAUAGAGACUCUGUGACUCUCGUCUCUGACACAUUCAAACCACACACUUUCAAACCACAGUUAUUUUCAGUGACCACACACAUGCACACAGCUCUCUUCAACAUCUUUUCUUCAGUAAUAUCACAUGCACGCAAAAAUCAUACCUAUUUCGUAGUCGUUCUCUGCUACUCUCCUCAUUUUGGGAGGUGUAGUGAUACCAGACUCCAACUCUGGCCUUUUUGGUGCCUUACUGUCUGAUAUCAAGUGGUCGAAGCUUUUUCUUGUCCCUGACACACACAAACACAGGAACAGGAAGUUGUCAUAGGCUUUACUGAAACUAGAUUAGUGUUACUGUUAAUGUCUGGUCAGUCAUGGUUCUAAGAAUCGCUCAUCUCCAUCCAUACAUCUCCUUCAAACACCCAACCUCCAUUUACAUUUACAUAACAUAAUGUUACUAAUUUAUUUUAGUAUUGCAGUUUAGUAUUUGGUAUUGCAUUUAUUGCACAUAACACAUUAUUGCACAUUAUUUGCACAAAACUGCACAUAUCCGCACUUUAUAUCUCUACUGUCAGACACUGUAUAUAUUCCAUAUAUAUAUAUUCUUAUACACAUCUUUUCUUUUCUUUCUUUUUUUUAAAUCCCUUCAUAUAUUUUUAUGCAUAUAUUUUUCUUUAUAUUUAAUAUUUUUCUAUAUUUUCUGAUUUUAUGUCGGAACAGUUGUAUAAAGCAUUUCACUGCAAGUCGUACUGUGUAUGGUUAUGCAUGUGACAAAUAAAAAUUUGAAUUUGAAUUCUA